rnacentral:rRNA from 1 species
AUUGAACGCUGGCGGCAGGCCUAACACAUGCAAGUCGAACGAGUGGCGGACGGGUGAGUAAUGUCUGGGAAACUGCCUGAUGGAGGGGGAUAACUACUGGAAACGGUAGCUAAUACCGCAUACCAUCAGAUGUGCCCAUAUGGGAUUAGCUAGUUGGUGGGGUAAAGGCUCACCAAGGCGACGAUCCCUAGCUGGUCUGAGAGGAUGACCAGCCACACUGGAACUGAGACACGGCCCAGACUCCUACGGGAGGCAGCAGUGGGGAAUAUUGCACAAUGGGCGCAACCCUGAUGCAGCCAUGCCGCGUGUAUGAUGAAGGCCUUCGGGUUGUAAAGUACUUUCAGCGGGGAGGCGUUACCCGCAGAAGAAGCACCGGCUAACUCCGUGCCAGCCGCCGCGGUAAUAC